AAAUUGAAGAGUUUGAUCAUGGCUCAGAUUGAACGCUGGCGGCAGGCCUAACACAUGCAAGUCGAACGGUAACAGGAAGAAGCUUGCUUCUUUGCUGACGAGUGGCGGACGGGUGAGUAAUGUCUGGGAAACUGCCUGAUGGAGGGGGAUAACUACUGGAAACGGUAGCUAAUACCGCAUAACGUCGCAAGACCAAAGAGGGGGACCUUCGGGCCUCUUGCUAUCGGAUGUGCCCAGAUGGGAUUAGCUAGUAGGUGGGGUAACGGCUCACCUAGGCGACGAUCCCUAGCUGGUCUGAGAGGAUGACCAGCCACACUGGAACUGAGACACGGUCCAGACUCCUACGGGAGGCAGCAGUGGGGAAUAUUGCACAAUGGGCGCAAGCCUGAUGCAGCCAUGCCGCGUGUAUGAAGAAGGCCUUCGGGUUGUAAAGUACUUUCAGCGGGGAGGAAGGGAGUAAAGUUAAUACCUUU
rnacentral:rRNA from 1 species